rnacentral:rRNA from 1 species
UACAGAGGGUGCGAGCGUUGUCCGGAAUCACUGGGCGUAAAGGGCGCGUAGGUGGUGACCUAAGCGUGCGGUGAAAGCCCGAGGCUCAACCUCGGGUCGGCCGUGCGAACUGGGUCACUGGAGCAGAAUAGAGGCAGGUGGAAUUCCGGGUGUAGCGGUGGAAUGCGUAGAGAUCCGGAAGAACACCGGUGGCGAAGGCGGCCUGCUGGGUUCUGGCUGACACUGAGGCGCGACAGCGUGGGGAGCAAACGGG